rnacentral:lncRNA from 1 species
ACUGCUUCCUGCUAACGCACAUCUGAGUAGUAGCAGGUGACGGCUCCAGGUACUUGGGUCCCCGACACUCAUCUGGGAAACUCAGAUGGACCUCCAGCUCCUGCCUUUGGUCUGGUGCAAUCCAGCUGUUUUGGGCACUUGAGAAGUGAAUUAGGGGAUGGGAGAUCUCUAUCUGUCUCACUGUCUCUCUCUCUCUGCCUUUCGUAUAAAAAAAAAAGGCCUCAUUUUCAAUUUGAACUGCAAACAACUCCACAUUAAAAAUGAAAAGGUUCAUAGCCCACAAGAGCUACAUCAGCCUGGUGCAAGCUGCGACCUCAAGCCUCCAUAGUCAUUCUUUCUCUGAAUGGGCAGGCCCUGACUAUUACCUUGCUCUGCCCACUUAAUUUUUGCAAAGAAAAUUUCACAUGUAGCAGCCAGUUCCCUGAAGUGAAGAUUUCCUUAUGACUUUCACAGUGCCAGUUAAGUAAGAUAUCCACAUAUCUUUGUUAACAGCCACUUAACAACUUUGCAUCAUUUAAAAUGCCAGGCCAAUGAGCUGACGGUGGCCCUAGAAGGUGGCCCUAGAAGAUAACAGCAUUCAGGCGGGGGCCAGAAAUUGAUACUUCCAGUCAUUCUUGGUGGUUUGCCUGCACCGACUUUGUGAGCCAGCUCAUGAUCUCAGGAUGUAUGAAAAAAUAACAAUUGCACUACUAUUGUUCGGUUUCAUUACUACAGCACCUGCCAACUUCACAGCUUCAACAUUAAAUAAUGAAAAACAAGACAUUACUUCUGAACAUACGGUUUUAGCAACAAAAUCAAGUAGGACCUCUUUUUUUUGCUUUUUUUUUUUUUUUUUUUUUUUGAAAACAAGUAAGAACCUAUUUGGGAAGUACAUUUUUAAGUAUUUUCCCUACCUUUUCUUUAUAGGUUCUGUUUCUACAUCGACUGCCAAACUCUGGUCUUCAACCUUAAGUAAUGGAAAAACUGACCCAACAAAAUCAAGUUCUGUUUCUACAUCGACUGCCAAACUCUGGUCUUCAACCUUAAGUAGUGGAAAAACUGACCCAACAAAACCAAGUGUUGUUUCCACACAGCUCAGAACACCUGUCAAAGCUCUCAACGAAACAGAACGUGGAAAUGGCAAUGGUUCUGUAGAAAAGCCAGAUGUUGUUUCCACACAGCUCAGAACACCUGUCAAAGCUCUCAACGAAACAGAACGUGGAAAUGGCAAUGGUUCUGUAGAAAAGCCAGAAACAAGACAACAAUAUAAUCAUGCUUUGUCAGAACCAGGUAUGCUAAUAUUUAUUAUGGAAUUAUGA